UAGCGUAUAUUAAAGUUGUUGCAGUUAAAAAGCUCGUAGUCGGAUUUCAGGGCGGGGUGGCCGGUCUGCCGAUGGGUAUGCACUGGUUGGCUCGUUCUUCCUUCUGGGGACUGCGCCUGCUCUUGACUGAGUGGGUGUAGGAAACAGGACUUUUACUUUGAAAAAAUCAGAGUGUUUAAAGCAGGCCAAGAUGCUCUUGCAUGGAUUAGCAUGGGAUAAUGGAAUAGGACUUUGGUGCUAUUUUGUUGGUUUCGAACACCGAAGUAAUGAUUAAUAGGGACAGUCAGGGGCACUCGUAUUCCGUUGAGAGAGGUGAAAUUCUUAGACCAAUGGAAGACGAACUUCUGCGAAAGCAUUUG
rnacentral:rRNA from 1 species